rnacentral:rRNA from 1 species
AACGAACGCUGGCGGCGUGGAUAAGACAUGCAAGUCGAGCGGGAACUUUCGCUGUAGCAAUACAGUGAAAGUUCUAGCGGCGAACGGGUGCGUAACACGUGGACAAUCUGCCUUAAAGUGGGGGAUAGCUCGGCGAAAGCCGAAUUAAUACCGCAUGUGAUGAGAGACGACAUCGUCUUGAAAUCAAAGCCGGGGCAACCUGGCGCUUUUUGAGGAGUCCGCGGCCAUCAGCUUGUUGGUGAGGUAACGGCUCACCAAGGCUAUGACGGGUAGCUGGUCUGAGAGGACGACCAGUCACACUGGAACUGAGACACGGUCCAGACACCUACGGGUGGCAGCAGUCGAGUAAUUUUUGACAA